rnacentral:lncRNA from 1 species
CUAAUCCUUCAGCUGAACGCUGAUAUAGAAAUGACUUUCAUUUCCUUUGUGGUAUAUAUUCAUCAGAGUUAAAAAGAAAGGAAGGAAGGAAAAGAAGGAAGGAAGAAAGGAAGGAAGGAAAGGAAGAAAGAAACACAGCAGGCAGUGAAGUGCUUAGAGCCCUCCCCUCCUCACUUUCUGAUUUGGAAGAUGUAUUUACAAAUCACAUUGUACAGGAGGCUUCCAGACUUUGAAUACCCGUAAGCAAGCAUUGACAUGGAAAAACACUGAAGAAGAUGAUGAAAUCCUACUUUCAGAAGUCUGAAACUGCUCAUCAUAAAACAAAGGAAAAAAAAAGGCUUCCUCAUUCAUAGUAAGAAAUAAACUUGCAGACCCACUCAGGACCACUGAAGUUCAAAAGAAAGUUUAGAGGCCUCACUGAAAAAACAUGCACUCAUACUACAGAAGAAAAUCGGUCCAAAAAUAGGCCCAAUAUGAU